rnacentral:rRNA from 1 species
UACGUAGGGGGCGAGCGUUGUCCGGAUUUAUUGGGCGUAAAGAGCGUGUAGGCGGCCAGGUAGGUCUGCUGUGAAAACUCGAGGCUCAACCUCGAGACGUCGGCGGAAACCAUCUGGCUAGAGUCCGGAAGAGGAGAGUGGAAUUCCUGGUGUAGCGGUGAAAUGCGCAGAAAUCAGGAAGAACACCCGUGGCGAAGGCGGCUCUCUGGGACGGUACUGACGCUGAGACGCGAAAGCGUGGGGAGCGAACAGG